rnacentral:rRNA from 1 species
UGCCAGCCGCCGCGGUAAUACGGAGGGUGCAAACGUUGCUCGGAAUCAUUGGGCGUAAAGCGCAUGUAGGCGGUUAGUUAAGUCGGUUGUGAAAGCCCUGGGCUUAACCCAGGAAGUGCAUCCGAUACUGGCUAACUAGAAUAUGGGAGAGGGUGGCGGAAUUCCCGGUGUAGAGGUGAAAUUCGUAGAUAUCGGGAGGAACACCAGUGGCGAAGGCGGCCACCUGGACCAAUAUUGACGCUGAGAUGCGAAAGCGUGGGUAGCAAACAGGAUUAGAUA